GUAUUUCGCCUCACAGUAGGUCGCCGCGACCCGUUGCUUUUGGGGACGUCGAAGGCCCGGACGGAUUGGUACCCUACCGGCUGGGGAUGCGGCUUCGGCUUCUCCUCUUGUCCGGUGGGCGAAACCGCCGGUGUCCUGGCUGCCCUGCGACGGUCGUAGAGACGAGCCCUCCCCAUUCGUGGGGGGCGGCUCUCGCGGCGUGCAAAAGGUCGGUGAUCCACCCGACCCGUCUUGAAACACGGACCAAGGAGUCUAACAUGUGUGCGAGUCAGUGGGCGCACUAAACCCAGAGGCGUAAUGAAAGUGACACGGGUUCGGCUGUCGCCUCGUGUGGCAGCCGGACUCGGGGCCGAUCCCUCACCGGUUGCCCUCGCCUCUCUCCCGCGUCUCGGUAAGCCGGGUGAGCUAUUUUCCCCGGCCAAUGCUGCGGGGCUCGGGAGGCGGCGGGGUUGCGAUGGUGUCCGUAAAAAAGAGCCUGCUGUUGCAGGGGGGCGCAGGCCCGGGACUUGCCAGGACGCCGCGAGACUGUCACUUUGCUGUGAGGCUCCAGGGCCGAUCAGCGGGUCAUGCGUGCAGUCGGCAAGUACCAUGAGCAGACAUGUUGGGACCCGAAAGAUGGUGAACUAUGCCUGGCCAGGAUGAAGCCAGAGGAAACUCUGGUGGAGGUCCGUAGCGAUUCUGACGUGCAAA
rnacentral:rRNA from 1 species